rnacentral:misc_RNA from 1 species
AAGUCGUAACAAGGUUUCCGUAGGUGAACCUGCGGAAGGAUCAUUACCUUCUAGUUAUCUUCUAGCUCGGGGGCCGGCUUGCGCGAAGUCCUUCGGGACCCCUCCCGGCCCUGGCUGCAUCCUUGUCUAUUGCGUACUACAUGUUUCCUCGGUAGGCUUGCCUACCGGUUGGACAACUAUUAAACUCUUUUGUAAUUGCAAUCAGCGUCUGAAAAUAAUUUUAAUUAUUACAACUUUCAACAACGGAUCUCUUGGUUCUG